rnacentral:lncRNA from 1 species
UUGCUGGAUUUCACUUAUUUAUUCACUUAUUUUUGGUAAAUGCCAUGGUAACAUAUUAACAGCUUUUUUUGUAUAUUUGUUUUCAUUUUUCAGGAAGCAUCCCUGUAAGAAUUCCUCUGAAUUAUCUUCUCAUGCCAAGAUUAUACAGGUGAGCAAGAACAAUUUAUGUCUUUUGGUGGUGACAAUAUCUUUCAACUCACUACACAAUGAGAAGCUACAAAGGUCUUUGAGGAAGUAUUGAAGCAUGGUGAACAUACCCAUUUGUAAUUGGAAGAUUAAAUGAUCCCUUUAUUCAAAAG